AACGAACGCUGGCGGCAGGCCUAACACAUGCAAGUCGAGCGGACCUUUCGGGGUCAGCGGCGGACGGGUUAGUAACGCGUGGGAACGUGCCCGAAGGUACGGAAUAGUCCCGGGAAACUGGGGGUAAUACCGUAUGUGCCCUAUGGGGGAAAGAUUUAUCGCCUUCGGAUCGGCCCGCGUUGGAUUAGGUAGUUGGUGGGGUAAUGGCCUACCAAGCCGACGAUCCAUAGCUGGUUUGAGAGGAUGAUCAGCAACACUGGGACUGAGACACGGCCCAGACUCCUACGGGAGGCAGCAGUGGGGAAUUUUGGACAAUGGGGGCGAACCCUGAUCCAGCCAUUCCGCGUGAGUGAAGAAGGCCUCGGUUGUAAGACUCUCUCGGCGAGGAACGAAACGAACGGGCGUCUAACAUAG
rnacentral:rRNA from 1 species